UUUCUGAAUAACCUUGAGUUUGGAUUUCUGAUUCUAGAACUAUGUACACAGUGAGUGUAUGUGAUUCACCGGUGACUGUUUAAUGUGUUUCCCAAAGAGGGAAAUAGAAAGAGAGGAAGAAGGGAGAGGCAACUCUGCCUAGUGAAAAUGAACCAGAUGGUUAGAGAGACGCAUAAAACACUUUCAGGAGGCAGGAAAGAAGAAAAUGAUCAGAAGAGGAUCAAUAAGAGGAUGGAUGGCAUGAACCAGCUUCACCAGCAGCAAGGCAUUUCACAGUGUUUCACUAAUGUGGGAAUCUUGAAGCAUAGUGUUGACAGG
rnacentral:lncRNA from 1 species